CCUGCCUCUAGAAGUGUUGCAGAUAUGGCUACUGUGUCACAAGUGCAUCAGUAGGUGGCAGAGAGGAAAGAGGCUGUGCAUACGCUCAGUGUUCGGACUUAUGAAUAUCUGAAAGAUUAGUAGCCUAACAUU
ensembl:snoRNA Gm22785 predicted gene, 22785